AAGAUUUCUCAAAAUCGAGCUUCAGGAUAACAAUUUCUUUUCUUGAUUUAUGACAGUGAUGCAAGUAUUCAAAGGCCCACGCCAGGCAAUCUUGUAUAGUCCUGGAUUUUAUGAAGCCAUACUGGUUGAUGUGAAUAAGUGAUGUAAUUACCUUUUGCAGUCUGUUGGCCAAGAGUUUAGUAAGUAGUUUGAUAGAAAUAUUCAGCAGAGAAAUCGACCAAUAAUCUG
rnacentral:lncRNA from 1 species